rnacentral:snRNA from 1 species
CGAAUUUCUCAUGUUUUAAAUGG